UGUCGUGUGAUGUCGUGUCUGUGGUUUGCCGCUGCUGCAUACCCCCCCCUGGGGGUGGCUCUGCUGUGUGUGCUGUGCUGAGCGGUAGGUUGUUGCCGGUGCCUGUCGGGUGACUCAGUGCGUGUGACUCAGCGUGUCAAACCCGGUCCUGCAUGGGAGCCGCUACAGGCCCAGCGGGGGUAUGCCGGGCCAGCGAGUCCCUGACUCGCUGGUUGUGUUGCCAACAGCGCAAGCUAGCAGACUGUGUAUCAGACUGUGUCAACCAACCCAUCGCGAGCAUUAGCCUUGUCCGUUCCUUCGCUUCCCAAACGUUAGCAUCCCACUACGUUAGACUGCGUCAGCCUGCCUCGCGCCAGCAGCAGCAGCCAGCCUCCGUGGCUGAACCGCUCAUCAUUGGUUGUCCCCGCGUCAGCGUCCAGACUUGAUCACCCUGGUACGCGGCCGGGCAUCGGGACAUUGGUGGCCAUACGGGGUCCCUACACUCUAGGACCGUAUCCGGUACAUGCAACACAACCCACAGUUGCUAUUGGCGAACUCGGCGCUGCAUCCCACUGCGCUCUCGCCCUUCUUCUCCGCGGCUACUUCUCACUGGACAACAAGGCUUUGCUCAUUCAUCCUUUCCUCUCGCUUAUCUACAUCCACGAAGCAUGUCAGAUGCAUCAGCGGUCUCGCCGGAGUCUGUCGAGUCGGGCGCGGCGCCCAUUUUCACUUCGCCGGCUGACGACCGCGAAGCUCGCUACACUCGGCGCACUUUAUUGGCAGGUUCUCGGGACACAUUGCAUAUGGCAGGCCAGGUCAUCGCAACUCUACCGCUGAUGGUUACUCUGCCCAUACGGAUUCGCCCGCCAGCGAGCCGGCAGCACUAGCCAGCUCAGUGUACAUGGAGCGCUCGUCACUGGAGCAGUGGUGGCAUGGGCGGUGGCCGCGGUGAUGGCCGCGGCGGCCGCCACAGCGGCCGCGGGGGAGGUCGCGGCGUGGCCGCACACGCUGUGGCCCUCGGCUCCGACAGCGCUAGCGACGCCGCGCCUGAGGCCGCGCACGCGGCCAUUGGCGCCCUCACGCUCGCCUCAGCAACACUGUCGGCGCCAGCUGCCUCCUCCAGCAGCUCCCUGCCCGCAGCCGCCAACGCUCCCGCCGCCGCCGCCAGCGCCGCGCCCAGCAGUGACGCCGCUGCCGUCGACCCGGUCAGCUCUGCCGUCUCCAUGUACGCGCCUUACGCCUACGCCUCACGGGCCACAGCAGCCCUGGCGACUCCACUGCGCCCGCUGCUGCACCCUGCGCCGCCGCCAACGGUGCAUCUGCAUCCUCUGACUUCCUCGGCGCUGCAUCCCAGAGCGCCAUUCUCACCGCCGCACCCUCGUGUGGCUUCGCCUCCAUCCCUCAAGACGCUGCAUACGUCUUCACCUCUUCACCUGGUCCUGCCUCAGGCAGCACCAUGGGCGCUGCUGCAUCCCAGAGCAGCGCCGGCGUCGCCGCCUCCGCCAUCGGCGCUGCCGCCGCACUCCCCGCGGCUGGCGCCGCAGCCGGCGACGCCUCCUCCCGUGCCGCCCCCGCUGGCGGCACACCUCAAGCCACACAGGCCACCGGUCCCGCGGCCGGCUCGCGCCUGCCGCUCGGCUUUGAGCAAUUCGAGAUGCGGCCGGCCGAUUCAGAGGUCCUGCCGCUCCUCGCCACUUCUUCUCCUGCCCCUCCUGCUUCUGCUCCUGCCUCCUCCAUCACCACCUCUCGCUGCGUGGCGGCCCCGCCUUCGCUGCUGGGGGGGGACCGCUGGGCCGCGUGCACAGCAGCAGCUCAGCCAACGCCGCUGCCACCAGCGUUUCCUCGCCUAAGCCGCCGCCCGCCACUGUGGCCGGCGGCCGCUCGCCAUGAGCGCCCCAGACGGCGCGCAGCCGUCAGCAGGCGUCAACCCGUCUGAUAGCGCAUCAGCGCCUGGCAGCUCCGCGCACGCCGGCUCCCGCCUUGAGCGGCAGCCAGAUGGGUGGGCCUAUUGCGAGUGUCCCGACGUCACGGCCUCCCAACGUGACGCAUUCCUUGGGUUGUUGGCGGCCACCGCCACCGCCUUCAUCUCAAGUGCCUCGGGCAGCACGCAACCAGCAGCGGCAGCUGCAGUGGCAGUAGCAGGAGAUGAGGCGCCAGCCGGCGCCUCUGCCCCGGGCAGCUUCACACCCGAGGGCCCUCGCUCGCUCCCGCCUGACGGCCGGUUCGAGCGGCAGCCUGAUGGGUGGGUCCACUGCGACCGACAAGACGUCACGGCAUCCCAACGUGACGCAAUUCUGGCCUUCAUGAACGCCAGCAUGAGCACCUUCGCCUACAAGUUAGCAGAUCUUGUGGGCUACAGUGGCGACGUCGGCCUUGAGCUUCGCCACGGCCGUGCAAUCUAUGAGCGCCCGCGCCCGCACACCGCAGACGAGCUCACAAUCAUGGAGUCCAAGCUACUCCUGGCCUACGGGGACCCGGCGGCCGCCGCCUGGCUGCCGGGAGCUGCAGCUGGGGGGGCACCCACAGCCGACGCUGGGGGGGCACCCACAGCCGCCACUGGGGGGGCACCGGAGCCUCACGCUGGGGGGGGCGCCUGUGGAGGGCGCGCCCAUCGGCGCCGAUGGCCGGCCAGCGUCUCAGCAAGUGCUCGCGGCUGCCAUCACCGCCCCGGCCCUGGUCAACCCUGCCGGCGCGCUCAUCCAAAGCGCGCGGGCCCGCUGGGCACAGCUGCAGGCGCUGCCCUCCGCGGUCUCGGUCAACGCCACCGCCAUCGUGCCCGACGCGAACGAGCUGUUUGCCGGCCACAACGGCGGCCCCACUGACGCCACGGAAGCCCCGCCGGCUGAGCGCCCGCCUGACCAACUCCUCAUCCAACUCCUCACUGUCAUCCAAGCCGCGCGUGUGCAGCUUCGGCAGCUGCCACGGUCCCCGCCACUGCCCCUCCGCCUGCGCUCCGGCACGGGCGACGUCCUGGGGCUGGACACGCGGCUGGUGCAGCACAACUUCUUCGCAGCCGCCAUGGGGGAUGCGGGCAUCACGCUGCUGGAGCUGCCCGGCGGCCUGGCCUCAGGGCUGCAAGCCGCCUUGCGGAUGGGCUUCCGCAUCCGGCGCUACGUCCACGUCGACACCGACCCCGCCGUGCGUGCCUCUGUCGCCCGGCUGCUGCCCAUGCUCGCCACGCAGCAUGCACCGCUGCUGCCGCCGCAGUCGUGGCAGCUGCACUCUGGCCCCGACCGCCUCGGCCUCACACCGGCGGACCUGGUGCCCUGGGCACUCGGGCCGGAGGGAGCGGAGCAGCUGCGGUUGCACGACGGCAGCCAAUGGCUUGUGGUCACCAGCUGGGCCUCGCACGCGCUCUGGCGCGACUCGCUCGCCCUCCAGCUCCUCGGCGGCCUGCAGCAGCAGCUAGCCAGCCGCCGCCUUCCCCAGCUCGCCUUCCUCGCGGAGGGUCCCUGGUGUGCGGAGUCACCAGACGCCUCGCCGCCCUUCGGGCCGCCCGCCGGCAUUGAUGCUGUGCAGGCCGGCAGCCCCGCGCAUCGCGUCACCUCUCUCUACACCAACCUGGCCGACUCAUCCCAAGUCGACUUUGCCUUCUCUCACCUGCGCCCUCUUCCCAGCCGCCUGCUUGCUGCCGUGCUGCCGCACGGCCGCACGCCUGGUGCUGCGCAACGGCCCCUCCCUCCUCCUUACGUGGCGCUGCAGGCCCCCGGCCAACCCCUCGCCGCGCUGCCCCCGCCUUCCCCGCCGCCCGCCGCCCCGGAGCCGCCACCGCUGCGUGCCGGCCCUGAUGGCCUGCCCUGCGCCCCGGACGCGGCGGACUGGCUCGCCGUCUCCACCCACCACUCCUCCCUCUCCUUGCCCGCCGCCUUCGCCGUCCAGCUGCUCCGCCGCCACACGCCGCCGGCUGUCUUCACGGCCGCCUUGGCUGCCGCCACGGCUCUCCACCGCCUCUUCUUCACGCGCCACGACAUGCAGCCGCUUCCCCCUCGUCAGAUCGACGCCCCGGCCUCCACGCUGGGGGGGGGAGCUGCCGCCUUGGGCCCAGCAGACCACCUGGAGACCGCCUUUGCAGCGCUGGCGCUGUCAGACGAGCCGUCACCACUGUUGGACGCGACCGAGACCACUCUCGCGGUUGCCCUGCUUCACCAGCGUCUCCUCGGGGCGCGCAUGGGUGCGCAGCUGCAUGUCUACGCCGCAGUGGCGGAAGCUGCGGAGCAAGCGGACUGGGCUGACGCCGCACUGCCGGCGUCGGCGGCCCCGGCCGCCGCCAGCACCACCAUCGCCUCCGCAGCCCUGGGCCCGUCAACCCCUGACACCGCAGACGUCUGGAACGACGCCCCCGUCAUGGACCUGCUGCGCCUGGGCGCCCAGCCUGACAGCCUCAGCCGCGAGGAGCGGCAACGUGUGCAGCGCCGCGCCGCCAGCUACCGCUGGACCGGAGAGCAGCUCAUCCGCCUCAUGCCCGACGGCAACACACGCGUAUGCCCGCCGCCGGAGGCCCGUGACGCCAUCGUCCAGCAGACGCACGAGAUCGGACACCUCGGCGAGCGCCGCACCUUGGCGCUGUGCCAGCUGGGCUACUGGUGGGCCGGCCAGCGGGCGACGGUGCAGGGCGUUGUGCAGCGCUGCAAGCUGUGCGACAUGGCCAACACCGGAGGCAUGGUGCGGCCUGUUCAACUGCAGCCACUGCCAAUCCGCGGCAUGUUCUACCGCUGGGGCAUCGACCUGGCGGGCAACUUGCACCCGACUUCCCCCGAUGGCUACACCUACGUGAUGGUGUGCGUGGAGCACUUCACCAAGUGGAUCGAGCUUUUCCCGCUCACCACCAAGUCCGCCAGCGAGACCGCACGAGGGCUGGUGGAGCUCCUGACGCGCUUCGGCUCGCCCGCAGAGGUCACCACUGACCGCGGCACCGAGUUUGAGGGUCCGUUCCAGGCGCUGUGCGAGGCUAACGCCAUCGACCACCGGCGCACGCAGCCAGAUCAUCCGCAAGCCAACGGCCUAGCGGAGCGCAUGGUGCAGGUUGUGAAGGCGGCACUGCGCAAGCACUGCCGCAGCACGCAGUCCAACGACACGUGGGACAAGGCGCUGCCUUGGCUCGCCCUGGCCUACCGCUGCUCGCCUCAAGCUUCAACCCGCUACUCGCCCUACAAGCUGCUCUACGGCGUGGACCCCAUCAUCCCGCCUGCCGUCCGCCCGCGCUUUGAGGAGCACGAGCUAGCCUUCACCGGCGACGGCAGUGAGCAAGCUUACGCGGAGGCGCUCCUGCAGCGCUCGGAGUGGCUGCGGCGGCAUGCGCCCGCCGCAGCCGGCAACCUGCUCAUCGCACAGCACCGCGACACCCAGCGCUAUGCUCUCACCCGCAGCGGCGGCUACCGCGCGCGGGCACUGGAGUUUGUGCCCGGUGACUACGUGUACCUGCGCAACGCAAAUCCCGACAACACGUUGGAGAUGCCGGUACGCGACCAGGUGCUGCGCGUGGAGCAUGUGGGCGACAUGGGCGUGGCCGCGCUAGUCGGCCGCGACACCGCACGUCUCCGUGCGCGAGUGGAGCAGCUGGUGCCAUGCCACCUGCCCAACCUGGACCCGAUUCAGGACGCCCGGCUGCUACGCACCAGCAACGACCUGGAGUGCGAAGUGUGCCACAGCCCGCAGCAGCCCUCCCGCAUGCUGCUGUGUGACGGCUGCGGCACCGGCUGGCACCUCCGCUGCCUCACGCCGCCACUCAGCAAGGUGCCUCCUGGCGCCUGGAUGUGCCCGGGCUGUGUGGAGCUGGGCAAGGCUCCACCCACCGGCCCCGCGCCGCAGCGGCCCUCGGCGGGUCCAGUGCUGUUCCCCAACGCUGACACGCGACGCCGCGACGCGGAAGCAGCUACCCUCGACGGCGUGUCAGUUGUACGGGCAGUUCCUGGCCCAGCCGGAACACCGCGGCAGCUGCAGAACGGCACUCUGCGCUUCCGCGGGCCCUUGUCACGCCCCUUCUACUUCAUGGUGGAGUGGCCGGGAGGCUCCGCCGAGGCCAUCACCCUGGCCGAUGCAAAACGCCUGCAACGGCAAACAGUGCCAUCGUCACCUGCAUCAGCCCCUGCCCAGGGCGGCGAGCCCACGGCCAAGCGCCGUGUUCAGCCACGCCGCUGAUGCACCAACCCUGCCGGCAUCCCAACGGCAGGACCUCGCGCACGCCGGCAUCCCAACGGCGUGUGCCGCGCUGGCAUCCCAACAGCGCGCACCCACGGACAUCUGCUCGGAGCUGGCUUGGACUCGAAGCCAGCAAUGAGGAUUGACUAACCCAGUGACGUGUGACUAGCUAGGUGUCUGUUCUCGUUUGUCGUGUGGCACGAACUCACUCGCAUAUCAUUCUGGUGUCAUGCGUUUGCUGUCCCGUGCGUCUGUGUGUGUUUCCGACUUUGCCAGUCUCGCUGACUCCCCUGUCUUCAGUCGUGGGGGGGAUCUCUCCGCCCGGGAGCGGCGUUGUGCAAGUUCGGCUGUGGCGCAUGUCAGCUGUCGUGUGAUGUCGUGUCUGUGGUUUGCCGCUGCUGCAUACCCCCCCCUGGGGGUGGCUCUGCUGUGUGUGCUGUGCUGAGCGGUAGGUUGUUGCCGGUGCCUGUCGGGUGACUCAGUGCGUGUGACUCAGCGUGUCAAACCCGGUCCUGCAUGGGAGCCGCUACAGGCCCAGCGGGGGUAUGCCGGGCCAGCGAGUCCCUGACUCGCUGGUUGUGUUGCCAACAGCGCAAGCUAGCAGACUGUGUAUCAGACUGUGUCAACCAACCCAUCGCGAGCAUUAGCCUUGUCCGUUCCUUCGCUUCCCAAACGUUAGCAUCCCACUACGUUAGACUGCGUCAGCCUGCCUCGCGCCAGCAGCAGCAGCCAGCCUCCGUGGCUGAACCGCUCAUCAUUGGUUGUCCCCGCGUCAGCGUCCAGACUUGAUCACCCUGGUACGCGGCCGGGCAUCGGGACAUUGGUGGCCAUACGGGGUCCCUACACGGCCAUACGGGGUCCCUACACUCUAGGACCGUAUCCGGUACAUCUCUCCGCCCGGGAGCGGCGUUGUGCAAGUUCGGCUGUGGCGCAUGUCAUGACUGUGCUGGGCGUGGAAAGGUUGCACCCCUCAUGCUCCCCUCAUCGUGCUGCACUUUGCUCAAAGGGUCUUUGUUUCCGAUUUGCCUCAUCUCCGGCCGCUCCACCUCAGCACCGAUGCCGAUGGUGCCCAAGAUGGCGCCUAGAAUUGUGGGAUGCAAUGAGGGGCUUACAAGCGGUUACAAGUGGGA
rnacentral:lncRNA from 1 species